AGUCGAGCGGAAGGCCCCUUCGGGGGUACUCGAGCGGCGAACGGGUGAGUAACACGUGAGCAACCUGCCCCUGACUCUGGGAUAAGCCCGGGAAACUGGGUCUAAUACCGGAUAUGACGCAUUCUCGCAUGGGAUGUGUGUGGAAAGUUUUUCGGUUGGGGAUGGGCUCGCGGCCUAUCAGCUUGUUGGUGGGGUGAUGGCCUACCAAGGCGACGACGGGUAACCGGCCUGAGAGGGCGACCGGUCACACUGGGACUGAGACACGGCCCAGACUCCUACGGGAGGCAGCAGUGGGGAAUAUUGCGCAAUGGGCGGAAGCCUGACGCAGCGACGCCGCGUGGGGGAUGACGGCCUUCGGGUUGUAAACCUCUUUCAGCAGGGACGAAGCUAACGUGACGGUACCUGCAGAAGAAGCGCCGGCUAACUACGUGCCAGCAGCGC
rnacentral:rRNA from 1 species